GACAGCAGCAGCCGCGGUAAUACGAAGGGGGCUAGCGUUGUUCGGAAUUACUGGGCGUAAAGCGCACGUAGGCGGAUACUUAAGUCAGGGGUGAAAUCCCGGGGCUCAACCCCGGAACUGCCUUUGAUACUGGGUAUCUCGAGUCCGGAAGAGGUGAGUGGAAUUCCGAGUGUAGAGGUGAAAUUCGUAGAUAUUCGGAAGAACACCAGUGGCGAAGGCGGCUCACUGGACUGGUAUUGACGCUGAGGUGCGAAAGCGUGGGGAGCAAACAGGAUUAGAUACCCCUGUAGUCCCUGUCUCUUAUAC
rnacentral:rRNA from 1 species